GUUUCUGUAGUGUAGUGGUUAUCACGUUCGCCUAACACGCGAAAGGUCCCCGGUUCAAAACCGGGCAGAAACA
rfam:Phoenicopterus ruber ruber contig41570, whole genome shotgun sequence.